rnacentral:rRNA from 1 species
GGGUUCGAUCAUACCAGCACUAAUGCACUGGAUCCCAUCAGAACUCCGCAGUUAAGCGUGCUCGGGCGAGAGUAGUACUAGGAUGGGUGACCUCCUGGGAAGUCCUUGUGUUGCACCCC